rfam:Paenibacillus sp. MSt1 Contig_39, whole genome shotgun sequence.
GACAAACGAAUAUGCUUACCGUAGACAGUAGGUGCUCGUUCGAGCUUAAUUUCCUGCCGAGGUGUUGUGAUAUAAAUUCGAUAUUCUGUACGGAAUAUAUGAAUCGUCAUGCCUUCGCCGUGUCUGCGAAGGCAUUUUCGCUUUUAGC